AUUAAACGCUGGCGGCAUGCCUUACACAUGCAAGUCGAACGGCAGCACGGGGGCAACCCUGGUGGCGAGUGGCGGACGGGUGAGUAAUACAUCGGAACGUGCCCUGGAGUGGGGGAUAACGCAGCGAAAGCUACGCUAAUACCGCAUAUUCUGUGAGCAGGAAAGCAGGGGAUCGCAAGACCUUGCGCUUUGGGAGCGGCCGAUGUCGGAUUAGCUAGUUGGUGGGUAAAGGCCUACCAAGGCGACGAUCCGUAGCGGGUCUGAGAGGAUGAUCCGCCACACUGGGACUGAGACACGGCCCAGACUCCUACGGGAGGCAGCAGUGGGAAUUUUGGACAAUGGGCGGAAGCCUGAUCCAGCCAUGCCGCGUGAGUGAAGAAGGCCUUC
rnacentral:rRNA from 1 species